rnacentral:siRNA from 1 species
UGACUUGUGUACGUACAUUCUG